rnacentral:rRNA from 1 species
GAUCUUGGCUCAGGAUGAACGCUAGCUACAGGCUUAACACAUGCAAGUCGAGGGGAAACGAUAUUGGAAGCUUGCUUCCGAUAGGCGUCGACCGGCGCACGGGUGAGUAACGCGUAUCCAACCUGCCCACCACUUGGAGAUAACCUUGCGAAAGUAAGACUAAUACCCAAUGAUAUCUCUAGAAGACAUCUGAAAGAGGUUAAAGAUUUAUCGGUGAUGGAUGGGGAUGCGU